rnacentral:rRNA from 1 species
ACCUGACUGCUAUCGGAUUGAUACUAAGCCAUGCGAGUCUUUGCAGUAAUGCAAGGCAUACGGCUCAGUAACACGUAGUCAACUUACCCUAUGGACGAGGAUAAUCUCGGGAAACUGAGCAUAAUACUCGAUAGAUCAUAAUGCCUGGAAUGGUUUAUGGUUGAAAUGAUUCGUCGCCGUAGGAUGGGACUGCGGCCUAUCAGCUUGUUGGUGAGGUAAUGGCCCACCAAGGCGAUUACAGGUACGGGCUCUGAGAGGAGAAGCCCGGAGAUGGGUACUGAGACAAGGACCCAGGCCCUAUGGGGCGCAGCAGGCGAGAAAACUUUGCAAUGUGCGAAAGCACGACAAGGUUAAUCCGAGUGAUUUCUGCUAAAGAAAUCUUUUGCAAGUCAUAAAACCACUAGUGAAUAAGGGGUGGGCAAGUUUUGGUGUCAGCCGCCGCGGUAAAACCAGCACCUCAAGUGGUCAGGAGGAUUAUUGGGCCUAAAGCAUCCGUAGCCGGCUCUGUAAGUUUUCGGUUAAAUCCAUGUGCUCAACGCAUGGGCUGCCGAAAAUACUGCAUAGCUAGGGAGUGGGAGAGGUAGACGGUACUCGGUAGGAAGGGGUAAAAUCCUUUGAUCUAUCGAUGACCACCUGUGGCGAAGGCGGUCUACCAGAACACGUUCGACGGUGAGGGAUGAAAGCUGGGGGAGCAAACCGGAUUAGAUACCCGGGUAGUCCCAGCUGUAAACGAUGCAGACUCGAUGAUGCAUUGGCAUAUAGCCAGUGCAGUGUCGCAGGGAAGCCGUUAAGUCUGCCGCCUGGGAAGUACGUACGCAAGUAUGAAACUUAAAGGAAUUGGCGGGGGAGCACCACAAGGGGUGAAGCCUGCGGUUC